CACCAUCACUCACGUCCAUGGAACUUGAAUCACCACCGACGUGAAUUCCCGACGGCGACUCUCCCUUACUCUAUCUCUCUCUUCUGCGCUUCUCUCUACUGGGGCCGGUGCCUGCGACCAGAGAACCUCCGGGUGGCUAGGGUUCUGGGUGCUUCGGUCUCGCCUGCCGGCUGGGCACUUAAUUUGUACGGGGAGGAGCCGCCCGCUGCGCGAGUUUCGCGGGUUCGGUUGAGCUCGUCCGC
rnacentral:lncRNA from 7 species